AAACGAUUAAGCUUAUAUUCUUUCUGAAUAUACUUUAUUUAACCCACUUCGCGAGUACCUACCCAAUUGCUUCCGCGAGGGCUGUCCCUCACGGCCCUCUGAAUAGAUUUACUCUUUGGGGAGUCCUUGCGGAAGGUAUAACAAUGCUAACCUCGUUGCAGUACCAUGUCAUCUGUCUGAAUCUGUUUAAAAUACCAAAUUAUUA
rnacentral:misc_RNA from 1 species